rnacentral:rRNA from 1 species
AACGAACGCUGGCGGCAUGCCUAACACAUGCAAGUCGAACGAGACCUUCGGGUCUAGUGGCGCACGGGUGCGUAACGCGUGGGAACCUGCCCUUAGGUUCGGAAUAACUCCCCGAAAGGGGUGCUAAUACCGGAUAAUGUCUUCGGACCAAAGAUUUAUCGCCUUUGGAUGGGCCCGCGUUGGAUUAGCUAGUUGGUAGGGUAAAAGCCUACCAAGGCGACGAUCCAUAGCUGGUCUGAGAGGAUGAUCAGCCACACUGGGACUGAGACACGGCCCAGACUCCUACGGGAGGCAGCAGUGGGGAAUAUUGGACAAUGGGCGAAAGCCUGAUCCUGCAAUGCCGCGUGAGUGAUGAAGGCCUUAGGGUUGUAAAGCUCUUUUACCCGGGAUGAUAAUGACAGUACCGGGAGAAUAAGCUCCGGCUAACUCCGUG